UCUGUCACGGGGUCAGUGUGCGGCCUUGUCCUAGGCAGCUUUCCAGGGGCCCCUGGUCUGAAAACAGCUUUAGUUAAAAUAAGGAGGGUGGUGCUGAGUGCUGGGCGGGUGGUGAAGAGGGAGGAUCCCUAGACGCUUUGCAAACAUGAGAAGCACUGCGGGUCACGGCAUGGGCACCAGCGGCCGGCACCCCUGCAGGUCCCCGAGGGGACAGGCAGCUGGACUCACGGCACAGUCUCUAAUCGUGUUCCGAGGUUGCAGUUUGGGGGAAUUUAAACCAAAUGAGUUACAAGCCACGGAAAUAAUUUUGACGGGAAAAGACGAGGACAGAGAGCCAGCAACGCGUCACCGCGGGCAGGACCCCGCCGCCUCCUCGCUGCCUCUUCUGUCGCUGUGGGAGUCAUCAGGCCUCUAGUGACGUUCACCGGGAAGACGUGGGCAGAAAACUGCACUGUCCUGGGCAGGAGACCCGCGGAGCCUGACUGCGCCGCGCUCUGCUGGGCGGGGGCGGCGGCCGCUGUGCCAGUGGCGGUUGGUGUCAGGGCCGUGCCCUGGGAUGCCGGGGGCCACAUCCAAGAACGGGGAGGCUCAUGUGUGCCCCAAGCAUGCAGGGGGAGCCCUAGGCCCUGAGACAGGCCGUCGGGGUUGGUUCCAGCAUCACCACCGGCAUCCUGGUUUGCAAAGCUCCCCGAAGAACCGCGUCCUUUGCUGUCAAAGUGACCCUCUCAGACUUGGGGAUUCAGGCCCUUUGUGAUCUAGGUCUUGGAUUUAGACGAGCCUGGUCCCAUUUCUGCCCCAGGCAUUGACUGCAUCCCCAUGGCUGUGGUUCUGUCAGCGUCUGAUUGGAACGCGCAAGCUGAGUUCAGGCCUUCAGGGAGGGCUCCACUGGGGGGCCUUCCGCUGCAUGUGGCUUUGGCUGGGGUCACGCGGGAGGGCUUGACCAGCCACUGGCGUGGUCUGGAGCGUCCAGGAAGGCCUCCCUCACACACCCGGUGGCUGGGGGAGGGCUGGGCUUGGCGGGGACUCUCCACGUGGCCUCUGGCCAGGAGCUGGACGUCAGCCUGGGAGCUCAGGAAACGUGCCCAGAAGCCGGCCCCUUGGGCAGACCUGUGUACCUGUUUAUCUAUUUACUAUUUAUCUCCUCUGCCUCAUCCUCAAUUUCAAAGGAAGACCUAAAGCAGGUAAAGGGCUGAAACAGAAGAGUGGCCGCAGUUCUCCACGCCCCCUGGAACCACAUCCUUCCAAGGGGACUUCGCACGACCUCCCUUCAGCCAGCUUGUCCUGUGGCCACUGAAGGCAGCAGGAGGGACAUUGUGUCCGUCCCCAGACUCCCCCUCCUCAGACCCUGCGAUGCCGAGUGUGCCCAGGCCAGCCUUCUGGGGGUCGAGGCUGGUGGAGGAGCCAGGCCUCCCGGCUGGGGAGCAAGCCCGCUGGGGCAGGUGCUGCCAGCCCAGCGUCGCUGCCCUGCAGACUCGUGAACAGGAGGGAGCCACAGGCCUUGGGCGCUUCGCUGCACCACCGGCCCAACCGGCAGCCGGCACCCCCAUCAGGGCUUGACUGCUGGCGUCCGAAGGUCUCUGUUGGAGAGGAGCUCAGGGGACGAGUUAAACCCCAAGAAAGGGAGCGUCAGUGGAAUUUGAAGCCUUGCAGCAACGAAGUAAGAAGAUUUGAUAGAGCCAGGAGCCCCUUUCGACCUCUAGCCUCCAGCUCCCGUCACCACGCAGCUCCUCUGGGCUCUGCAUCCAACCAGAGGUGGUGCUCAGCCAGCGACAGGUGGGGCCCAGGCCCCAGGGAAUCAGAACCACUCCAACCAGGGCUCUGCCGAGUUCCGUUCCAGGUGCUGGGCACACGCCAGCGAGGAACAGUCCACAUCCAACAGCCACGAGAGCCGGUGUCUCCAGGGGAAGCGCUAAGAGCUAAGCGGGUCACAGGGGACCCAGAGCCAGGCUGGGGAAUGGAGGGCACUGAGUGACCGCAGGUGCACUUUGAAAGGUUCCCAGAGAAGGUGACACCUGAGCAAAGACAUAGAGAGAGUGGGGCCACUGAGUACCUGGAGGAGCAGCAUUCCAUGCAGGGAAACAGCAGUGCAAAGGCCCUGAGGCAGGAGUGAGCCUGGCUUGUUCUAAAAGCAGCCCGGGGGCCAGUGUGGCUCAGGUUUUCUGAGAGGGGCAGCGGAGGGGAGGGAGCAGCUACAGGAAACUCCAGGUGGGGCCGUUUGGAGACGGCAAGGACGUGGCUCUGGCCCAGGGACCCAGGAGGGCGCUGUGGGGCAGGAUCUGGUCCCCAGCUGCCGUGUGUGGUAGGGCAGUGGUGGCCCUGGGAGUGCUGCAGGUGGCACGGACCAGGUGGGCUGGGCUCUGAUUCUGGGUCUGUGUUGAAAAUGGUGUUUGAACUGCUCUGACCCCCACAGCAGCCUCCAGGAAGGCCCACUUAUCAGAUUAGGAGACAGCCUCAAGGAGGUGACCUGACACGUCCCAGGCUUGCCCAGAGCAAAGUGCCUGCUCCUCGCAGUGGAGCCUGUUCGAGUGAGAGAGGAGGGGACAUGCUGGGAGCCCAGGGACACACAGUGACCUCAAAGGGGAUCCGGCAGGGCCCCUGCCGCUCAGCCCAGCCCCGGCCAGAUGACGUCAGUCUGUCCUCAGUGUCGCCAGGAUCCCUUCUUCUCUCCACCCCACAGCUGCGACCACAGGCCAGACCGAGAAGGAGAUCCCCAGAUUCUGCGGAUAAGGCCAAAUCAGACCCCAGCCCUGCAGCCAGAGGGGAGCCCCCACAGUCUACAUCCACAUGUGGCUCUCUUCUGCCCAAAUCCUGGUGCUGGAAGCACAGCUGAUCUCAGCACCAUGAAGACAGACACAGAGGACGCCCUCCCUGCAGGUGGGAUGCAGCCUGGGUGCGGAAAUCGGCUCACAAGAGGGAAAAACAAAGAAAGGUGUUUCCAGGUGCCGCACUGUUUUCAUGCUGCUUUGGGCAGAGUGUCCAACACGAUACGGAAGCCGGGAGAGAGGACCAGCCCUGCUGCCCCUUACUUGGGCCCAAGGUAGAAGCCUUGCUGUUUUGGUUUUGUGCGAAGUGCCUUGGCUCUCCUGCUGCCAAGAUGCCCUAAGUGCAAGCGAAGUGCUAAGAUUUCUGGUGGCGCCGAGGUGGCCCCAGCGGGGGGGGGGGGCGCUGGUCAUAGGACCAGGACGGGAAGGCCCGUGUGUCUGGGCUGUGGGCACCACCGGGCCCCACGAGGUGAAGGCAGCCCUUGCUCUCAGCUCCGUGCUCCGCAGAAAGGAGCUAGCCUGGCCUGCUCUGCUUCUGGAAUGACGGGGAAAAUCUCCCCACCCCACUGGCAGCCAUACAGUCUCUGUGGUUUCUGUCUGGAGGAACAGCAGCCGGGGGAAGACAAACACGAAGACGGGGAUGGGCCAGUGCUGACCCGGACACUCGGUCCCCACUCGGCGGGAGCCACUGGGAGCCGAAACCCUGUCCGGCCCUAAACCCACAAACAGCCCUUGGCUGGGAUCCUACAGGGCUUCUGAAGAGCACAGCCCACCCCCGACCCAGAAAACCCAACUCGACACGCACAGGUGCCUGCGAAACAGCAGGCCAGGCGCCGGGCACUCAGCUCCUGGGCUCUCUCCAGAAAACGGGGCUCACCGGGGUGAGGAUACCGCGCUGGGCUGUGCCAGACCAGCAGGGCGGCGGGGAGAAGGGAGACGGUGCAUCAGUGUCUCAGGGCGAAGCAACCCCAGGAACACACGGCAGGGCGGGACCCAGGCGCCGCCUCCAGCAGCCGCGACUUUGGGAAAGUUACCGGCUCCUCCAGGGCCGCGGUCACGUCACCUGUGAAAUGAGGACAAUCACAGAAAGCGCCUGCCCCCCGCCCAGCGACUGGAUGAGACGCUGCAGGUG